CAGCCCGGGAGCGCCGCGGAGAGACCGGGGCCCGGCCCGGCACUGCGGGCUCAGCCGGCCCCAGCUCCACCCGGGGGUACCGGGACAGCGGGACAGCCGGACAGUGGGACAACGGGACAACCGGACAGUGGGACAACCGGGACAACGGGACAGUCGGGACAGCUGGACAGUGGGACAACCAGGACAACGGGACAGUCGGGACAGCCGGACAGUGGGACAGCCGGACAGUGGGACAACGGGACAGCCGGACAGUGGGACAACCGGGACAACGGGACAGUCGGGACAGCCGGGACAACCGGGACAACCAGACAGAGGGACAACCAGACAGCUGGGACAACCGGGACAGUCGGACAGCCUCGGGACAACCGGGACAGCCAAGCCUGGCUGCACCAGGACCCGGCUCGGCCGCACCACGCUCGCGUUUAUCCACACCAGGGCGCGAGGUUCUUCCCCCUCUAACAUCGAACAGAGAAAACUGGAAUUGUUCACUUCUUCACUGCCAGCUCCCAUUUCCGGUGAGAAUCCCAGAAAGCGGAAAAGGAGGAUCGAUUUUGUCUGAAGAUAAUAAAUUUAGGACGUGUCUUUCAUGCAACAAAUAAAUGAUCUCUGUAUGCACCUGCGUAAAUCACACACGUGUCUAGGAAAAGCACAAAGAAAAAGUAGAGACUUCCAAAUUUAUCAUCCUUUUCCUGUUCUUCUCCAUUUACCAAACAAUUUAAAUAAUAACAGAGUUAUACCUACGGAUCAAACGAUGUCACAGGUUAUAUCCUCGCCAAGUCUACACAGUUUCACAGGGUGCUGUGGGGAUAAUCACAAAAUUGCCAGGAAUUGUGCAGUAAUUUGGAAUAUGUUAAUAUUGGAAUACGUAAUUUGAAAUUCUAAGGAUUUACACAGAACAUUUAAAUUUUUCCUUGACAGUAAAACACAGACACGAUUUCUUUUCUUCCACUGCAAGGCUGAAAACUGACAGGAGCAAUGUCUUGACUUAGAGAAAACGGAGGCUCAGUGAAGGAUGAUACCAGAUAAAAAUCAUAAAAGCAGAAUCCAGAGCGAUUCAGCCCCAUCGGCGCAAUGACAUUUUUGCGAGUACCAAGAACAAAAACUCCUCCUGCUGCUGCUGGUGCCUCCUGCGCCGGGGCUCGAUGCUUUCCAGCGGCACCAGCGCAGCUCCGAUGCUGGCCCGAGCGGUGCUGCCCAGGGGACGGUGCUGUGCAGGGGUUUUGUCGCCCACGGCUCCCGGCGAGGUUCGGUUCCGCAUCUCAGGGCUCUUCCCAGACCUGAUCCGACUCCUGGCCGUGACGCCAGCCGUGGUUUGGGAGAUUCCCAACCCACUCUGGGGACAUCCAGGCUUCCUGCUGCAUCCAGAAGCAAUGGGAAAUGUCAGGUGGAGUGAAUCCGCGGCGGGGGAGGCAGCGACACCGAGGCCAGGGACGUUCCAGGGAAAUCAAAGACUGAAGAGGUGCUGCCACCAGAGGUGUGGGAGAUGUCACUGCUGCCAGAACCAAGGUGCUCCACACGGAACAGAAUCCACGGGGACACGGAAAACAGGUCACCGCAGCCCAGCACAGGCCACAGAGGAAACCAUCCAGAGGUUUGGAAAUAGGACGUGGUGCUUUCCACAAGGACACGGACCGGGAAUCGGAGAUCCAGCUGCAGGCUGUGCUGCUCGGGGGGCACAGCCACACUCACGCCUGGCUCAGCCUCUCCCGGGCACGGGGGUGGCUUCGGGGACACAACCUGACCCAGACCUCGGCACAGGAGCAGGGAACUCCCCCUCGAGACCAACAGGACAGAAAUGAAACCUGCGGGUGAAAACCCUGCUUCACGCCAGAAAGGUCUGCAGGAGGCAGAACCUCUCUGCAGAGUUCAGUGACAAACACCAGGCUUGCCGCACAGGAAAAUAGGAAUAUUUAAUCUGUUCACCAAGCAAUCUCUGCCAGUCCCGCUGUGCUUCCAUGCAGAACCACAUCCCCUCGUUUACAUUCGGGGUUCCCUCGUGGAUCUGACGGGCACAGCACGGGCACAGCUGGAAAGCGCAGCGUGCCUCUGGUCUCCUCGGCUCCACUUCUGGAGUGGCUGGAGCCACAGAGGACCUGGGGAAGGGGCGUUACUGGAACAGGUGAACGUCCCAUUGCAGCUGGAAAAGGCCCCCAGCUAAAGCUGGGCUCGUGCUGGCAGAUCUGUGAAUUCUACACUUCUGUGAUGUGCAGGAACUGGGAGGGAUCCCCCGGUAGGCAAAGCUUCCCCAGGGAACCGCAACCCCUGGCAUUCGGAUCUCCACCGUAAGGAGCAAGUGAGAAACGCGCAAAGCAGAGGCCACCUCUCCCCCAGCUGCCCAGGGGACACGGCUGCACCAAGCAGAUGUAAAGUCCAACAGGGUCCUGCAUUUCCUCCCCUCGGCAGCGAGAGCAAAGGCUUUAGUCGGGCGGUAGCAAAUCAUGCAAGCGAAAUCUGUCUCUGAUGUGAGGUCGGACGUCUUCGUUCUGCGGGGGAAAGGGCAGGUUUAGG